rnacentral:rRNA from 1 species
AUUGAACGCUGGCGGCAGGCUUAACACAUGCAAGUCGAGCGGGGGAGGUUGCUUCGGUAACUGACCUAGCGGCGGACGGGUGAGUAAUGAUUAGGAAUCUGCCUAUUAGUGGUGGACAACAUCUCGAAAGGGAUGCUAAUACCGAAUACGUCCUACGAGAGAAAGCAGGGGACCUUCGGGCCUUGAGCUAAUAGCUGAGCCUACGUAGGAUUAGCUAGUUGAUGGGGUAAAGGCCUACCAAUGCGACGAUCUGUAGCGGGUCUGAGAGGAUGAGCCGCCACACUGGGACCGUGACACGUCCCAGACUCCUACGGGAGGCAGCAGUGGGGAAUAUUGUACAAUGGGGGGAACCCUGAUCCAGCCAUGCCGCGUGUGUGAAGAAGGCCUUUUGGUUGUAAAGCACUUUAAGCGAGGAGGAGGCUACUGGUAUUAAUACUACCGGAUAGUGGACGUUACUCGCAGAAUAAGCACCGGCUAACUCUGUGCCAGCAGCCGCGGUAACAC